rnacentral:rRNA from 2 species
CUUUGGUUCAACCGAAGAAGUGCAUUCGAAACUUGGAAACUUGAGUGCAGAAGAGGACAGUGGAACUCCAUGUGUAGCGGUGAAAUGCGUAGAUAUAUGGAAGAACACCAGUGGCGAAGGCGGCUGUCUGGUCUGUAACUGACGCUGAGGCUCGAAAGCAUGGGUAGCAAACAGGAUUAGAUACCCUGGUAGUCCAUGCCGUAAACGAUGAGUGCUAGGUGUUGGAGGGUUUCCGCCCUUCAGUGCCGCAGCUAACGCAUUAAGCACUCCGCCUGGGGAGUACGACCGCAAGGUUGAAACUCAAAGGAAUUGACGGGGGCCCGCACAAGCGGUGGAGCAUGUGGUUUAAUUUGAAGCAACGCGAAGAACCUUACCAGGUCUUGACAUCCUUUGACCACUCUAGAGAUAGAGCUUUCCCUUCGGGGACAAAGUGACAGGUGGUGCAUGGUUGUCGUCAGCUCGUGUCGUGAGAUGUUGGGUUAAGUCCCGCAACGAGCGCAACCCUUAUUACUAGUUGCCAGCAUUUAGUUGGGCACUCUAGUGAGACUGCCGGUGACAAACCGGAGGAAGGUGGGGACGACGUCAAAUCAUCAUGCCCCUUAUGACCUGGGCUACACACGUGCUACAAUGGAUGGUACAACGAGUCGCGAGACCGCGAGGUUUAGCUAAUCUCUUAAAACCAUUCUCAGUUCGGAUUGUAGGCUGCAACUCGCCUACAUGAAGCCGGAAUCGCUAGUAAUCGCGGAUCAGCAUGCCGCGGUGAAUACGUUCCCGGGCCUUGUACACACCGCCCGUCACACCAUGAGAGUUUGUAACACCCAAAGCCGGUGAGGUAACCUUCGGGAGCCAGCCGUCUAAGGUGGGACAGAUGAUUAGGGUGAAGUCGUAACAAGGU